GAUGAACGCUGGCGGCGUGCUUAACACAUGCAAGUCGAACGGAAAGGCCACAGCUUGCUGUGGUACUCGAGUGGCGAACGGGUGAGUAACACGUGGGUGAUCUGCCCUGUACUUCGGGAUAAGCUUGGGAAACUGGGUCUAAUACCGGAUAGGAAUCACAUGUGGGUGUGUGGUUGGAAAGCUUUUGCGGUAUGGGAUGAGCUCGCGGCCUAUCAGCUUGUUGGUGGGGUAAUGGCCUACCAAGGCGUCGACGGGUAGCCGGCCUGAGAGGGUGUACGGCCACAUUGGGACUGAGAUACGGCCCGGACUCCUACGGGAGGCAGCAGUGGGGAAUAUUGCACAAUGGGCGCAAGCCUGAUGCAGCGACGCCGCGUGGGGGAUGACGGCCUUCGGGUUGUAAACUCCUUUCGUCAGGGACGAAGCGAAAGUGACGGUACUGGGAUAAGAAGCACCGGCAACUACGUG
rnacentral:rRNA from 1 species